AGAUCCAGGCAAGGAAUUCAGAUCAGAAAAAUUAAAUCAGAAGACUUUAGAGUUUCAAUUUAAUCCAACAAACAUGUAUUGAAUGCUUUUUAUGUGCAAAACAUUGUGCCAUCAAGGGCUUUAAGAUCUAAUGCAGGAGUCAGCAGACUUUUUUUCUUUUCUUUUCUUUUCUUUUUUCAAGACGGAGUCUCACUCUGUUGCCCAAGCUGGAAUGCAGUGGCGCAAUCAUAGCUCCUUGUAACCUCAAACUCCUGGGCUCAAAUGAUCCUCUCACCUCAGCCUUCCAAACUGCUGAGAAACAGGCAUGAACCACCACACCCACUGGAGCAAACAUUUUUGAUAAAAGGACGAACAUUAGCCACAAGAUUAGAAAAUACAGUUUAGGAUUCAUGCAGCCGGAGACUACAAGAUUCUGACCCUCCCUAAACUGCUCCUAAAAUCAGUGCUUGAGAUAUUUUGAAGACCCUGCUCUUGAUGGAUCAGCUGACACUACCCAGAUGGAUAAACUGGCUCAUCUGAUCUUGUGGCCUCCACCCAGGAACAGAAGACACCUUCGACUCCCUAUGAUUUCACCUCUGACCAAUCAGAACUCCUGGCUCACUGGAUUCCCCCUACCCACCAAGUUGUCCUUAAAGACUCUGCUUCCUGAAUGCUUGAAUGCUCGGAUGCUCGGGGACACUGAUUUGAGUAAUAAUAAAACCCCAGUCUCCCGCACA
rnacentral:lncRNA from 10 species